AAAAUCUCCUUCUGCAACAUGAGGAAUUCAUCCAACAUCAUCUCGCUCUCAGCCCCGCUUUCUGCUGCCGUCACCCCAAACAUCUCCACCUGCAUGUCCUGCAGCCGCACCGCGUGGUCCAUGAAGUAACCUGCAGGAGAAAAGAGGGGACGAGUGAGAGAUCUGGACACAUUUUGACCCAUUCUGCCUUAAUUGUGCCUCCUCUUGAUACACCCCACCCAAAUUUU